UUCCAUGUCGUUGCCCAUUAUAAGUUAAUAACCCAGCCCAAAAUCAAUCUCUCGUUGCCCUUAACAACUACAAAAAAGGCGGAAAAACAAAAACCCGCAUAUUAUUUUCCCACUACUCCAUGAACUGAGUAACCACUCCUCCCUGUCUUCCCCUCUCGCUCUUCCUCUUGCAGACAUGAAUCCUCCAUUUAUUCUCCAAGAAAAUUACCAAGUGAAUUACGAAUUCCUUCUUUUCGGUUAAUUUGAAGAUAAAUUGCAGCGCUCAAACCCCAAUUUAAUUAAAUUUUCUAAUUUUUUUUGAAAAACAUAUUACAUGGUGGGAGGUUGGGAAUUCGACAGCGAGGUCAAGAGAAUCGGGCACCGCUCUUCUUCGAGAGAUUGGAAAUCCACUUCCAUGCAGAAACAACAAUUUAAAACUUUCAUUUAUUUGCUCUGAGUUGAGGCCUAAGAGCAUCGGUGUUUAUACAGGUAAACGAGCUGUAUUUUCAUUCUGUUUACACUGCAAACUGAUUACAAUUUACGACUAUUUGAGAGGCUAAUUCUCUCUUUUUCUAGGAAACGAAAGAGCCAUACUUCUAAUUGUUCUUAAUUGUAGCUCAUAUGAUAGGUUGAUAACAACUUCCGUGUGCAUCUGUUUUAGCAUUGCUUGUUUCAUUAGACAAAUUUUUGCAAGUUGUGAUCUUGUUUUAUUUUAUCUAUGAGUGUCUAUACAACGAGUAUAUGACAUGUUUACUUCAGAAACUUAUGCAUGACAUGUGCUUGUAUUUAAAAAAAAAGGUUUAGAUUUUAGACUCAUUCUAUCAUUCAUAUUAGCCUGGGGGGAACAUGGAGUAAGAUUAACGAAGGCUUUAUUACUGAUGAGAUAUGCAAUAGUAGUGUUUAAGAGAUAUGCAAUAGUAGUGUUUAAGAGAGAUGCAAUAGUCAGUCUAACAUAUGAUGACAAUUAUCCUCGGCUUUUUACCUGAUAUAAACUUGUAAUUAGUUUCCUAGUUCACUUAUUCAAAAUUCAUCUUGGGUUUUAGUCUUGGUAUAGUUCGUUUACCUGGCAUCGUGUUGAUUUACUGAGUGUUUCCUUAAGCAUUAAAAUACAUUUGAUCACUUUAGAUAUCUGAUCAAGGGGAAAACUAGGUCGUUAGUAGUCUCUCCUAAUCAAACAAAAACCUAAACUAAUCACUAAACACAAGUAAAGCGAUAAGUAAGGGUCGAAAUCCACAAGGACUAAGGUGCACUAGAUUAUGCUAAUCGAACAACAAGCUAGGUCGAAACGAGUUGGAAAGUCAACUAACCACCUAAAACUAAAUCAACUAAACUAACUACCAAAUACAAACGAGGUUAGGGAAUGGGGAUCAAACGACAACCGAUCAUGAUACAAGCAUAAGAGGACCGAAACUAGGGACGAUAAUGCAUAAACACUACAUGAAUGAAAUGUUGGUUCAAUUAUGGACUCCAAUCAUCUCCCGAGGCGAAUCCUUUCUUAGGAUGACAAAAUGCGGACUCACAUCCUACACUCUAUCACUCUUAGGUAAAUUAAACUUCAACCAACAAAUAGUCAACACAAAGUCACAAUCCCUUGAUUUUCCAAGGCCGACUACCCCGAUUUCAAUGCUACACACAAGUGAUCAAUUCAUAUGCAACAAAGCUUGAGUACAUUCAAACAUGGAAUAAUUUAAUCAUGCAAAAUCUAUAAUUUCGAACUCAAAUCCCCAAAUCAAUCAUGGUUGAGUUUUCACCCAAACCCUAACCAACAACACUACUCCAUAAACAUAAAAAUAGGAAAUUUAAUGAAAUUAACAACUAAAAACAUGAUUCUAAACAUUAAUAACAACUAAUCUAAACAUGAAUCAUUAAACUAAACCAAAACAAUUAAACUAAUUAAAACGAUAAAUAAAACAAUAAAUAAAGAAAUAAAUGAGGAGAGAGAGUAAGAAAUUUCUCAUUGAUUAAUAGUGGAAAUCUUGAACAAAAUUGCCACACUUGAAUUCAAAACCCCCAAUUUUCAUUGAUUAUUUCUCACUUUAUCUCUCUAAAAGAUAAACUAAACUAAACUAAAACCCUAAAAAUGUUCUAACUAUUUACAUGGUUAAGAAGUUGGUUCCUAAAUUCUAUUUAUACUACUCUAACUAAAAGAAAGAAAGGAUGAAAAAAGAAAAAGAAAAAGAAAAAGAAAUUGUAAAACUUAAAAAAAGGGAUUAAAAGUAAGGAGAAAGAAUUAAAAGAAGAUUAAAAGAAAAGGAAAAUAAAAUAAAAAGGAAUCUAAAGAAACAUAAGAAUCAAAAUGCCCAAAGCAAACCAACUCAGCCCCUGCACUUCGUCUUCUCCUUUGUCCCUUUCUUCGUUGCUUCAAUUGGAAGCAGCUUCUGGUGCUCCCUCCUCCAUCUUCUUCAAUCAUCAUCGUCCAUCAUUAUCAAUCAUCAAUCCUCAAUUGUUCCUCGCCGUUCGAUCAUCUCACGCAUCAUCAUCAUCACUCAUCACGCAUCGAUCAUCACCGUCCAUUGUCAAUUCAAUCGCAGCCAUAGAAUUUCAUUAAUCCGUACUAGAACUUGAGCGCUCAAAUGUUCGGUCGAACAUAAGGGAGGUUCGGCCGAACCUCAGACUUGGAGGAACUCUAAAUUUUCGGUUCGGUCGAACUCCGUUACGGAUUCGGUCGAACCCGAAUUGUUCUAUUUUUGCUCUGCUUUUUGCUUUGUUUUGGAUGAUUUGCUGUGCCAUUUUCAUGGCUGAUUUAUGUUGUUGGUGGACAAAGAUGAUGACACUGAUGUUGGUGUUGCGGUGACUGAGAGAUGGUGGUGAGUGGAAUGAUAUGGGUUGUUGGUCAUGGGCUGUUGCUAUGCUAUGGUGCUGUUUUGGUUAGGCUCGUGGUUGAGAGAUGGUGGAGUUGGGGAGGUGUGGUGGCUUCUGAUGUGGUGUAGGAUAGAAGAGAGGGUGGUGUAGGAUAAGGAGGAUGUGAAGCUCUUUGCUUUGUUGCUCUCAAAGUCAAGUUUUACUUUUCUUGACAAAGUAACGCAAUGCAAUUGAUUUGAACUUGUACCCCGGACACUCCGAACAACAUACACCUACAAAAUUAAAAUUAAAAACGAGGGGAGAACGAAAUAAUAUAAAAUAAAAUACGAGUAACUAGAAAUAGAAAUAAAAAUAGAAAUAAAUUAUUAAAAAUAACUACUUAAACUAUAAAAUUAUCAAAACCAAUAAAACAAACAAAAUACGAAAUUAAUAAUUAAAAACAAAGAAAAAUCACUAAUUACGCUAAUUAAGCUACAAAAUAUAAAAUAAAAUAAAUAAAGGCUAAAAAUGAUAAAAUUAGAUAAAUAUAUAAUAAAAUAACCUAGAAAAACACCUAAGAACUACCCCUAAGAGUGACAUAAAUGUCACUCAUCAAUAUCAGGAUGAAUAUUUUUGAGUGUUUCCUUUAGCAUUAAAAUGCAUAUGAUCACUAUUCUUUCUAUAUGAACCAAUGCCUAUAACGUUCUGUUAGUGAGUUCGAACUUGGUAAUUUUUAAAGAUCUUACUUAAUCUUACAUCUUAAUAAAAUAGGUCUUGGUGAUAAUGUCUACUACAAUUAUUCCAAUCACGAAUUACCUGUCAUAUGCAAAUUUUAUCUUUCAUUAAUUAAUGAUUGUAUAUUAUUGUAUGUUUCUUGCAUCAUUAAAGAAUAUGUUUUAGUGAAAUAAGUGUUUUGUAAUUUAACCUUUAGCUUAAUGUAAAAAGGGAAUCUUAAUGCUUCAAGGUUUGGGUCUAUAGAAUGUAUACAAUUUUAUUUUUAUAAAUGAAUGAUGUUCUUUACAUCCUUGAGUGUUUUAUAAAUUAAUGACGAAUUUUAGGUUUUAAUUACAUAUAAGGUACAUUGUUUUCUCCUUGUAGCGUUUAUAUGAGCAUUAUUGCUUGUGUGUCUACAUACCCCUUAUACAUAUAACUUUUUCUUGAAUCUAAUGUAACUAAUAAGUUCGUUUACUUUUAUUUUUUUAAUAUUUUUUUAUUUUACUUGAUUUAAAGAAUGAUUAGAGAUCGGUCUUGGAUGAAUCACAAUGGGAUAAGUAUAGACGAAAAACAACGUACAAAUUAGGGGUUGAUGAUUUUCUACAGUUUGCUUUCAAGAAAAAAAGUAACGAUACACCGUUGAAAUGUCCUUGCUUGAAAUGUAGAUUGCUUUUAGCCCAAAAUCUAAAAGACAUGCAAUGUCACUUACUAGUAUAUGGUAUCGAUAGUAGUUAUAAUCCAUGGGUUAGUCACGGAGAAAACGAUGAGCAAUGUGAUAAUAGUGAUGAAGCUGACAUAGAGGCGACCGAGGAGAAUGAGGAAACUGAAAUGCCCUUUGACAACAUGGCUCCAUUGAUUUUUGAUGCAACAAAUGCAUGGAAUUCAACUUCUUCGGUGUUGGACGAUAAUGAAAAUACUAGUGAUGAUGG